GACGAAUGCUGGCUGCGUGCUUAACACAUGCAAGUCGAACGGUGAAGGGGAGCUUGCUCCCCGGAUCAGUGGCGAACGGGUGAGUAACACGUGGGCAACCUGUCCCUCACUCUGGGAUAACUCCGGGAAACCGGGGCUAAUACCGGAUACGACCGGGAGCGACAUCGCUCCUGGUGGAAAGAACUUCGGUGAGGGAUGGGCCCGCGGCCUAUCAGCUAGUUGGUGGGGUAACGGCCCACCAAGGCGACGACGGGUAGCCGGCCUGAGAGGGCGACCGGCCACACUGGGACUGAGACACGGCCCAGACUCCGACGGGAGGCAGAAGUGGGGAAUAUUGCGCAAUGAGCGAAAGCCUGACGCAGCGACGCAGCGUGAGGGACGAAGGCCUUCGGGUUGUAAACCUCUUUCAGCGGGGACGAAGCGAAAGUGACGGUACCCGCAGAAGAAGCACCGGCUAACUACGUGCCAGCCGCCGCCGUAA
rnacentral:rRNA from 1 species